rnacentral:rRNA from 1 species
GUGCAGCAGGCGCGAAACCUCCGCAAUGCACGCAAGUGCGACGGGGGAACCCCAAGUGCCACUCUUAACGGGGUGGCUUUUCAGAAGUGUAAAAAGCUUCUGGAAUAAGGGCUGGGCAAGACCGGUGCCAGCCGCCGCGGUAACACCGGCAGCUCAAGUGGUAGCCGCUUUUAUUGGGCCUAAAGCGUCCGUAGCCGGUCUGAUAAGUCUCUGGUGAAAUCCCACAGCUUAACUGUGGGAAUUGCUGGAGAUACUAUCAUGACUCGAGGUCGGGAGAGGCUGGAGGUACUCCCAGGGUAGGGGUGAAAUCCUGUAAUCCUGGGAGGACCACCUGUGGCGAAGGCGUCCAGCUGGAACGAACCUGACGGUGAGGGACGAAAGCCAGGGGCGCGAACCGGAUUAGAUACCCACGUAGUCC